rnacentral:rRNA from 1 species
GACGAACGCUGGCGGCGUGCUUAACACAUGCAAGUCGAACGGAAAGGCCCCUUUGGGGGUACUCGCGUGGCGAACGGGUGAGUAACACAUGAGUAACCUGCCCUUGACUUCGGGAUAACUUCAGGAAACUAGGGCUAAUACCUGAUAGGAAUCCUUGCUGCCUGGAGGGGGUUGGAAAGCUUCUGUGGUUUGGGAUGGACUCGCGGCUUAUCAGGUUGUUGGUGGGGUAGUGGCUUACCAAGGCUUUGACGGGUAGCCGGCCUGAGAGGGCGACCGGCCACAUUUGGACCGAGGUACGGCCCAGACUCCUACGGGAGGCAGCAGUGGGGAAUAUUUCACAAUGGGCGGAAGCCUGAUGCAGCAACGCCGCGGGCGGGAUGACGGCCUUCGGGUUGGAAACCGCUUUCAGCAGGGGCGAAGCUGGUGGUGACGGUACCUGCAGAAGAAGCACCGGCUAACUACGUG